rnacentral:rRNA from 1 species
CAUAGGUUAAUGAGGCGAACCGGGGGAACUGAAACAUCUAAGUACCCCGAGGAAAAGAAAUCAACCGAGAUUCCCCCAGUAGCGGCGAGCGAACGGGGAGGAGCCCAGAGCCUGAAUCAGUGUGUGUGUUAGUGGAAGCGUCUGGAAAGGCGCGCGAUACAGGGUGACAGCCCCGUACACAAAAAUGCACAUAUUGUGAGCUCGAUGAGUAGGGCGGGACACGUGGUAUCCUGUCUGAAUAUGGGGGGACCAUCCUCCAAGGCUAAAUACUCCUGACUGACCGAUAGUGAACCAGUACCGUGAGGGAAAGGCGAAAAGAACCCCGGCGAGGGGAGUGAAAAAGAACCUGAAACCGUGUACGUACAAGCAGUGGGAGCCUCUUAAUGGGGUGACUGCGUACCUUUUGUAUAAUGGGUCAGCGACUUAUAUUCUGUAGCAAGGUUAACCGAAUAGGGGAGCCGAAGGGAAACCGA